GAUGAACGCUGGCGGCGUGCCUAAUACAUGCAAGUCGAGCGAACGGACGAGAAGCUUGCUUCUCUGAUGUUAGCGGCGGACGGGUGAGUAACACGUGGAUAACCUACCUAUAAGACUGGGAUAACUUCGGGAAUCCGGAGCUAAUACCGGAUAAUAUUUUGAACCGCAUGGUUCAAAAGUGAAAGACGGUCUUGCUGUCACUUAUAGAUGGAUCCGCGCUGCAUUAGCUAGUUGGUAAGGUAACGGCUUACCAAGGCAACGAUGCAUAGCCGACCUGAGAGGGUGAUCGGCCACACUGGAACUGAGACACGGUCCAGACUCCUACGGGAGGCAGCAGUAGGGAAUCUUCCGCAAAGGGCGAAAGCCUGACGGAGCAACGCCGCGUGAGUGAUGAAGGUCUUCGGAUCGUAAAACUCUGUUAUUAGGGAAGAACAUAUGUGUAAGUAACUGUGCACAUCUUGACGGUACCUAAUCAGAAAGCCACGGCUAACUACGUG
rnacentral:rRNA from 1 species